GCCGGGUGCUGUGGCGCGUGCCUGUAAUCCAAGUUACUUGGAGGCUGAGACUGGUGGAUCGUUUGAGCUCAGGAUCUCUGAGCUGCAGUGGACUAUGUCGAUCGGGUGUCCAAUAAGUUCGGUAUCGAUAUGGUGCUCCUGGGGAGGCCGGGACCACCAGGUCGUCUAAGGAGGGGUGCACCGGCCCAGGUCGGAAACGGAGCAGGCCAAAGCCCCCGUGCCGCUCAGUAGUGGGAUCGCGCCUGUGAAUAGAGGCUGUAGUGAAGCCUGAGUAAUACAGCGGGACCCAGUCUUUU
rnacentral:SRP_RNA from 1 species